CUGGGCCGCUCAGAUGGAGUCUUGGCCUGAAGGACCCGGCCAGAGAGGUCCCAUCCCUCUGCGAGGCUCCAACCGCUCGGCUAUUGCUCCCAAGCAGGCAGACAUGGACCACACAGACCUGCCAGGGCUCAGACCCUCCCCGGACCUGGCCUCAGCCCUGCGUCACGGGGACACAGGACUCGGGGGUGUGGUGGCCCUGCAAGGACAGAGGACGCGGAUUGGGGAUGGCAGCGGGCCCUGAGCCCUGCUCGGCGGCUCCAGCAGCCUUUGCAGGAUGCACAUGUCUUUUAAAUUAACAUCUUCCAAAUCUCCUGGCCAACAUGGAAAAUAUCUACUCUAACAAGGGCCAGGAACUAAUUAUACCCCGGCACCGGGAAGUGCUCAGGGACACUGGUGCUGGCCCGUGUCACUGGGGCCCUGCCCUUCCUCCCUGGCCUUGCACACAGUCCUCCUCAUGCAGCAUGACACCGAGRGCCAUCACGGCAUCGCUGAAAGCUCAGGGCCAGCUGGGGGGACACGGUGACACACCGGCACGUCCGGCAGUGGCUGGACACGGCGAUUGGUCCUGUCCCCAGCAGCUCCCUGGUAAAUCAGCUCUGGCUGUGUCUGGGGACUCGAGGGGCCGUUGCGGGCUCUGCCCGGGCUCCUUGGAGAUGUCCAAGGCAUGCCGAUCCCGCUGGCCGGUGGGAGUUGGGKGUCCAAAUAGCGCAGGUGUAAUAAUGAUGGUCAUCUCAGCGGGAUGCGGGGACAAACUCCGGCACACGUGUGGCCAAGCAGGCUACGAGCCAGCGUCGGGGUUAGGAGCCAGGCAGGGCUGUGGGGCCCAGCUGGCUUUGGGGCAUCUUUGGGGACGGUCUCAUCUCAGCCUGGACAGAUCCAGAGCGCAGCCACCCAGCACGGUGGAGGGAAGGAGCUGUCACGGACCUCGGCUGGUGCCACGUCCACAUGGAUGCUCCGCCAUGUCCUUGGACAAGGUCACCUGCUCCAGAGAGGGCUCAGCCCCGGCUCCCCGUGUCCCUGCGCUCAGUCCCACGGAGCAUCCUGGGGCUAGUGCUGCCCCAGGCCUUGGCCGCGGCGCACGCUGGGUGCAGCCAGCACCCGUGCCCGGGGAGCGGGCAGGGGCCGUCGGGCCAAGCCGGGGCCCGGCUGGCGUCGCGAUGCCUUCG
rnacentral:lncRNA from 1 species